AAAAUUGUUUUCAAUACGAAAUGUUUUAUUGUGUCAAAAAACUGUUAUAUUACUAAUAAACCGAUAUUAAAAUUAAGCGAUCAGAACAGCGCCAACAUUAAUCUGAGGAUUUUAGUAAUUAAAAUCUAACCGUAAGGCAUUUACGAAGGAAUUCUCGUUAUAAGGCAGUGUUCGCUUUUGUCAAUUCAGUUUAUUUCGAUGGGCUUACAUUUUCUACGUGUGAGUAUAAUAUAGUCGAUACUAAUUGACACUUUUUUUUAAUUCAAAGGAACUAUGUACAAUGAUUUACAUCGGUGCACAUGUGGCACAUUCGGUUUUUAGUUUAUUAUUAAUUAACUUUUGAUCUCUUAGUGAAGCACCACGAUUUUUUUUUUUCAAUCAAUUCUUCAUAUUCUAAGUAUCAUCUAUAGGAAAACUCAUUCAUUCAAAUUCACGCAAAACUAUCUCUUUCGUUUCGUUAUCCAUCUUGUUAUCUCGUUGGCUACCCUAGUUUUCAUAAGGCUGUUGUUCGAAACCUUAAGGUGUUGAUUUCGGCUAUAGUCUAGUAGUGGAUUAACUUUUCAGUAUUCUGCAAGGAAGGCAUAGGAUCUGAAUUACUUUGUUGAAGUCGUUUUGAUGAACUGUACCAUGCCUUCCCGCUUCAGCGUGAAUUAAUUCGCCGGCUAUGAAGUUAAUAUGUAAUUGUUUCUCCUAAUUAUCCCCACUUAGCAAUGUUGAUCUAUGUGUACAGUGCUAUAGUUUUCAAAGCAUAAUAGCCUUAU